rnacentral:tRNA from 1 species
GUGGUUGUAGCUCAGUAGGUUAGAGCGCUAGUUUGUGGCACUAGAGGCCGUCGGUUCGAGCCCGAUCUUCCACCCCA